ensembl:lncRNA
CUUAACUCCCCCUCUCCGGCUCAUAGUGACAACCCACAUAGCACAGAUUUGUGAAAAUCAGAGUUCACGGUGUCUUGAAGGCAAUGGGGGAGGCAUGAUCCAGAAUACAGUCUGUGUUGCUUCUCUGCCCCUCCUUAUUUCUUUUACAUCUUCCUGUGUUCGAAUACGUCUUGAAAACCGCAGAUCUGCUCUCUCCUUCGCAUGCUUUUCACCAGAAAGAAAAGUGGAAGGCACAUGUCAGUGCCAACAGCACCAUCUUCUGUCUGCAGAGGUUAUGCAGCCUUCACUCACGCUUCCCUGAGUCCUCCAGAGAUGGGGCCGGUUGAGACUCCUGGAUCUACUGCUGGAUGUUGAGCUCUUCGUGAGUUUGAGUGUCUGAACAAGUCUGAUUGUAUGCGGGGAAGUGUGGGUGUAUGAAAGGCUACAAAAGCUUCAGCUCUUGUACCACUUAUCCCUGGAGCAACCUUUUCAUCUGCCUUUUAUUAUUCUCCUCACAAAAACUCAGUUGCAAAACUUACCCUACAUUUUUUUUUCCCUGUGGCUGAAUAUAUUGCCAGUUUAUAAUUUUUAUUAUUAUUGCUUCUUGCAAUUAGUGUUAUCCUUCUUCUCUACGCAUAUUACUGCACUGACUGUCCUUAGGGGAGCAGCAGGCAAUCAUUUUUGCCUUAGGAAAUUUGCAGCCCAAAUGGAUGAGAAGAUAAGCACAGUCAGGGGACCACCUUACUGGUUCACAUAGAUAGCGUAGGAUUAAUGUCAGUGUUAAAACAAAGCCGUGUUUGUGGAAUGAGAGAGAAAAACAAGGCGGUGUUUAGCAUGAAGAAAAACAUGAAGCAUGAAAGUACUUGCUUGAAAGUCCAGUGCAUGGACAAUUAGGACUGGUAGCGUUGGGUAGGUCAGUGUGAAAGCCAAUGUCUUGGCAUUAGAUAAGAGGAUGGGAAAGUAUAAAGUCAAAGAUUAUUUUGGAUGUAACUAGAAGAAAGGGAUGCCACAACUGGCUGAGCAAACUUUAGUGAGAGUAAAUCUUGCUGACUGCAGGAAACCUGGUCAGUGAGGGUCUGAAGUGGAACUGGAGCAGACAAACUCCAUACUCACUGUAAGUGGGAAGUAAGUUUAGAUAUGAAGGGGAGGAGGGAGAGAAGGCAGUAGCUGAGGAGACAGGCUGAAUCUCCUUUUAAAGGACGAAAGAUUAAAAUAUACUUGCAUCACAACCCAAAAGAGCUAGAAGAAAGGUUUAAAAGCAGUGUAGAGGAGGAAAUGAAACAGGAUUGAGAGGAUUAGGAAAUAAAAGCACAGCCAGCUUGUAGAAAUGAUCUGACCACCUACUUGGCUAGACAUUAUUUAUUUUCUCUUCCAGUUGGACCACUUCUUCCUCUAUCCCUCUUAGCCAAGGGUUCAAGGAUUAAAGAACAAACUCUACAUGAGGUGGCUUUCUUCUUUGCCUCUCUCAUCCCUUGUAACUCUUUUUCCUAUCCCCUAGCUUUCGCUAGUGCUUUCGCUUCUACCCAACUUGUUCAGCUUCAUCUAAACUUAGAAGAUAUGUACACAGGUCCCACUCACGAAGAGCUCCAAGCAUGGCAUCCACCCAGCAGGAAGCUGUGUCCUCUGCAUCCCCUGCAGCCUCUCUGUCCACAGAAACCAACGUGGCUUCCCAGACAGAGCUCCCAGGGAACAUGCAGCCACUCAGGUGUAGGGUUGCAGAGAGUGCCUGAACUCUGGAACUCAAUGGACAAGCAAAUGUGGAUGAAGGUCCAUCCAGGUUGGAGGGGUCACUUAUGGUCACUUUCGUCAAGAAAAACAGAAAGGCAGUUGUUAGAGAAACACAGAAUAUAUCAAUCUGAAAGAGGAUCACCAGGAUCACUGAGUCCAACUGCCAGCUCCAAACAGAAACACCCAAAACUCAAACCCUAUGUCUGAGAGAAUUGCUCAAAUGCUCCUUGAACUCUAGCAGCCUGGGGCCAUGGCCACUUCCCUGGGGACCACUCCUGCUGCAGUUGUUAACAUACUGUUAAUACUAAGCAUAAAUUUUGCUAUUUAUGUACCAACUAGCUCAUUACAUAUUAAUGAAUGCCUUCUGGGUGUAUUCAGUGCUAGUCAGACAGGGAUAAUCUUUCUUCCCAUGACCCCUACUGUUCCUUUCUUUUUCUUGACUUCAUAUCUACCUUCCUGAUUUUUUUUCCCUUUAGCUUUCUGCAUCACGUUCACAUACUCCCUAGUCUAACCUCUCAUGAGCUGAAUUCCUCAUCCACUUGUCUGAUCUGACAAUCUGCAGUAGUGCAGUUCAAAUGUAAAUGCUGUGUUUCAGUUGAUAAGAUUUUGCACCCGUUGUGAUAAAAAUAAAGGCAAGGUGGAAUUCAGACAAUAAUGGAGAAAAACAAAGCACCUGAUAUGUUAUUGUUUUGAUUGUACACACCUUUAAAGCUUAAUUUGGCUAGGUCCUGCAUGUGCCUGGAACUUUUGGGGACUUAUUCAAGCCUGUUUAAAAGAAGUGCCAACAAUACAUCUUGACUGCAUGCUUUAGGUAACAAAUGGAAGAAUUACUAAAGACAUCAGAGUGACUGGAUAAGCAAACAAAACAUGCUAUAGCAUAG